rnacentral:rRNA from 1 species
CCUACGGGAGGCAGCAGUGGGGAAUAUUGGACAAUGGGCGCAAGCCUGAUCCAGCAAUGCCGCGUGAGUGAUGAAGGCCUUAGGGUUGUAAAGCUCUUUCGCACGCGACGAUGAUGACGGUAGCGUGAGAAGAAGCCCCGGCUAACUUCGUGCCAGCAGCCGCGGUAAUACGAAGGGGGCUAGCGUUGUUCGGAAUUACUGGGCGUAAAGGGCGCGUAGGCGGCCUGUUUAGUCAGAAGUGAAAGCCCCGGGCUCAACCUGGGAAAUAGACUUUUGAUACUGGCAGGCUUGAGUUCCGGAGAGGAUGGUGGAAUUCCCAGUGUAGAGGUGAAAUUCGUAGAUAUUGGGAAGAACACCGGUGGCGAAGGCGGCCAUCUGGACGGACACUGACGCUGAGGCGCGAAAGCGUGGGGAGCGAAACAGGAUUAGAUACCCCCGGUAGUCCACGCCGUAAACGNUGAUGCUAGACGUCGGGGUNGNUGCACUCGUGUCGCCGCUACGCNUAGCNUCCGUCCGUCGGGNGGUCGGCCGCGAACGGUUAAACGUACGAAGAGUAAGUAGCGUUGNGNGCGCGACGACGACGACGAGGAGGGAG